ACGCUCGACACCUACGGGAUGCAGCAGUGAGGAAUAUUGGUCAAUGGGCGCUAGCCUGAACCAGCCAAGUAGCGUGAAGGAUGAAGGCUCUAUGGAUCGUAAACUUCUUUUAUAUAAGAAUAAAGUGCAGUAUGUAUACUGUUUUGUAUGUAUUAUAUGAAUAAGGAUCGGCUAACUCCGUGCCAUCAGCCGCGGUAAUCUGAGCGGGCUGGCAAGGC
rnacentral:rRNA from 1 species